UGGCCUGAGUCUUUCUCUCAAGUGUCUGAGCGGCGCACUCAGGCCCACUCACCUCAGCCAAGGAGAGAGUCGCGGGUAAUGGAGUGGCGUGGUGACCAUUCUGAGCAGAUAGUCUCGAGGAGCACUAAACACAGCUGAGCCUGCUGCUCCUACACUUUGCUUUGUGCCUCGCCCUGCAAAAUGCUGCUUGACCCAUGCAUGAUGUACUGGAUGUGUUUCAGUAUAAAAUGAUACAUUUUGAUAAGCCCAGAGAAGAAAAUGCUUGGAGGAAUACGCAAGACAGGAGAAGCGGUGUUGAAUGAAGAAGCAGGAAGACAGAUUGCGAAGGUGGUGUGAGGCAGCAGGUGCCGGACAGUGGUGCAGUUCCUGCUGGUUACGCUGACCAAAAGACGACGAGAUAGGUGUAGCUAUUUAUGGGCCGCCCAACAUCUUGCUGAGCCUGCCCGCCGCCUGCUGUCCUUUGGGUGAAUUCAUCAUGCUGACUUACAGGAAGCACCAUUUCAAUCAAGUUACGAACAAAGAGAGAGAAAGAAGUUUAAGCCCAUUACGACAACACGGCAAUAUGGGUCACGCCAGGGAACCUUAUUAGGGCCUUCGUGCGCCGCCCACCCACCUCCACCCAGGGACCCACGCCACCCACGCCCACUCCCAGUCUCACACCCAUGCUCUCACGCCCACAUGCGCUGCAACGACUAUGAUUACACCCAUGAUUGCGCGCUCUCUCUCUCUCUCUCUCUCUCUCUCUCUCUCUCUCUCUCUCUCUC